GAUCUGUUCGUCUAACGGCCAGGAUACGUGACUUUCUAUCACGUAACCGAGCGGAGCGAAGGUUACGAACGAGGAGGAGCGUGUCGAAGCAGCUCCGACGAAGUUCUGGGUUCGAAUCCCAUACAGAUCACCA
rnacentral:tRNA from 1 species